rnacentral:rRNA from 1 species
AAACUUUGCAAUGUGCGAAAGCACGACAAGGUUAAUCCGAGUGUUUUCUGCUAAAGAAAUCUUUUGUUAGUCAUAAUACCACUAAAGAAUAAGGGGUGGGCAAGUUCUGGUGUCAGCCGCCGCGGUAAAACCAGCACCUCAAGUGGUCAGGAUGAUUAUUGGGCCUAAAGCAUCCGUAGCCGGCUUUGUAAGUUUUCGGUUAAAUCUAUAUGCUCAACAUAUAGGCUGCCGGAAAUACUGUAAAGCUAGGGAGUGGGAGAGGUAGACGGUACUCCGUAGGAAGGGGUAAAAUCCUUUGAUCUAUGGAUGACCACCUGUGGCGAAGGCGGUCUACCAGAACACGUCCGACGGUGAGGGAUGAAAGCUGGGGGAGCAAACCGG